CCUACGGGUGGCAGCAGUGGGGAAUAUUGGUCAAUGGGCGCAAGCCUGACCCAGCAACGCCGCGUGAAGGAAGAAGGCUUUCGGGUUGUAAACUUCUUUUCUCAGGGACGAAGCAAGUGACGGUACCUGCGGAAUAAGCCACGGCUAACUACGGGCCAGCAGCCGCGGUAUUACGGAGGUGGCAAGCGUUAUCCGGAUUUACUGGGUGUAAAGGGCGUGUAGGCGGGGACGCAAGUCAGAUGUGAAAACCACGGGCUCAACCUGCGGCCUGCAUUUGAAACUGUGGUUCUUGAGUACUGGAGAGGCAGACGGAAUUCCUAGUGUAGCGGUGAAAUGCGUAGAUAUUAGGAGGAACACCAGUGGCGAAGGCGGUAUGCUGGACAGCAACUGACGCUGAGGCGCGAAAGCGUGGGGAGCAAACAGGAUUAGAUACCCUAGUAGUC
rnacentral:rRNA from 1 species